UGGGGAAUUUUGGACAAUGGGGGCAACCCUGAUCCAGCAAUGCCGCGUGUGUGAAGAAGGCCUUCGGGUUGUAAAGCACUUUUGUCCGGGAAGAAAUCCCUGCCCUAAUACGGCGGGGGAUGACGGUACCGGAAGAAUAAGCACCGGCUAACUACGUGCCAGCAGCCGCGGUAAUACGUAGGGUGCGAGCGUUAAUCGGAAUUACUGGGCGUAAAGCGUGCGCAGGCGGUGAUGUAAGACCGAUGUGAAAUCCCCGGGCUCAACCUGGGAACUGCAUUGGUGACUGCAUUGCUCGAGUAUGGCAGAGGGGGGUGGAAUUCCACGUGUAGCAGUGAAAUGCGUAGAGAUGUGGAGGAAGCACCGAUGGCGAAGGCAGCCCCCGUGGGCCAAUACUGACGCUCAUGCACGAAAGCGUGGGGAGCAAACAGGAUUAGAUACCCUGGUAGUCCACGCCCUAAACGAUGUCAACUGGUUGUCGGGCCUUCAUUGGCUUGGUAACGUAGCUAACGCGUGAAGUUGACCGCCUGGGGAGUACGGUCGCAGAUUAAAACUUAAUGAUUGACGGGUCAUAGCU
rnacentral:rRNA from 1 species